AGCUGAGCUGCAACAGAAACUGAAUGAUGUAAUCUUGUCAUAGAGCUUCACUUUGAAGUGACUUUAUAAUUCAUAAUAUUCAAAUAUGCACUGCCUUAAGAUCACCUAUAUGAAUCCUAAACUUGGUUAUGUUUAUAUAUAUAUUAACAUGCAUUUGCAAACUGUUUGAUGAUGUCUAUUUGCAAGUUUCUUUUGGUAGAAUUGUGAAAUAAAAAGAAUCCAUCUGAUGUGAAUUCCUAUCUGAACUCCUCGCAAACUAUUUAUCUAUUUGACCUGAUAUCUAGGGGAUCGAUGGGGGGAAAAGGAUCAUU
rnacentral:misc_RNA from 1 species